CAAAUAGUUAAUGCAAUAAAAAUGAUAGUAUAUGGAAGCAAAUAUGGAAGAACAUUCACUAACUUGAAGCUAUGAAAAAGAAGCAUAUACAGAGUUACUGCAAACAUCUCUCACAUAAUCGAUACAAGUGUUUCUUGGACUCUAAAACAAGAAGCAAAAUCGAAAGUGAGGAGACAAAAAUGGUAAUGCACAAAGCUAUGUAUGUACAAACGAACUUAUGUUGAGGAACAAGAACAUAGAAGACUCAUGCAACACCAUCAGCAAUACUCAGAUCCUAUGAGAUGAAUGUAGCCAAAAUCAUUUGUAAGUUGUAACUAGCUGGUCUACUACUCAUGAUUAUUUUUGGAGAAAACUGAGAUGUCAAUACCGUCGCCUAGACAAGAAAAACUCAUAAUCAGGAUGUCUGUUAGUACAUGUUUGGUUCCCCUUCUUCACCACAGCUCUUGCCAUCACACAUGCUGUUUCCUCGAGUGUCUUCAAACGUUCUCUCAGGACAAAAGAAGGGUCUAAGCCCACCAUUUCUGCUGCUUCUGCUGAGUGCUUCAGCUUGAACCAGCAUUCUCCCUGUCCAUAUCACACAUCAAGUGCAAAACUGUUAGCAAGCCUUAAAAAGUAUAUAUCCACAUUACUUUCUAAAAGUUUUAAAAAUUCAUUUAAGCUUAUGGAAGCAGCUUGAUUCAUUUUAUGUUCUCAUUUUCUUUUCAUAUAAGUUUCUGUUGAAAAAAUU
rnacentral:lncRNA from 1 species